UUCCCAUUAGCACAGUGGUAGUUGCGUCGAGCUGUUAUUCAGAGGUUCUGCCGUUGUGGUGGAACCGUUGACCGUCACUCGAAGGUCGUUGGUUCGACCCCAACAUGAGAAG